rnacentral:pre_miRNA from 1 species
UUUUUAGUGUAAGUAUGUCCCAUGCAAUAUUUAGGCCAUAUUUAUAUUAAAA